rnacentral:rRNA from 1 species
UACGGAGGGGGCAAGCGUUGUUCGGAAUCAUUGGGCGUAAAGAGUAUGUAGGCGGCUAGAUAAGUCAGACGUGUAAGCCCACGGCUCAACCGUGGAAUUGCGUUUGAAACUAUUUAGCUUGAGUGCAGGAGAGGAAGGCGGAAUUCCCAGUGUAGCGGUGAAAUGCAUUGAUAUUGGGAAGAACACCGGUGGCGAAGGCGGCCUUCUGGUCUGACACUGACGCUGAGAUACGAAAGCCAGGGGAGCAAACGGGAUUAGAUACCCCGGUAGUCCUGGCCGUAAACGAUGGGCACUAGGUGCGGGAGGUAUUGAUCCCUUCCGUGUCGCAGCUAACGCAUUAAGUGCCCCGCCUGG